GACGAACGCUGGCGGCGUGCUUAACACAUGCAAGUCGAACGGAAAGGCCCCUUUUGGGGUACUCGAGUGGCGAACGGGUGAGUAACACGUGAGUAACCUGCCCUUGACUUCGGGAUAACUUCAGGAAACUGGGGCUAAUACCGGAUAGGAAUCCUUGCUGCAUGGUGGGGGUUGGAAAGCUUCGGCGGUUUUGGAUGGACUCGCGGCUUAUCAGCUUGUUGGUGGGGUAGUGGCUUACCAAGGCUUUGACGGGUAGCCGGCCUGAGAGGGCGACCGGCCACAUUGGGACUGAGAUACGGCCCAGACUCCUACGGGAGGCAGCAGUGGGGAAGAUUGCACAAUGGGCGGAAGCCUGAUGCAGCAACGCCGCGUGCGGGAUGACGGCCUUCGGGUUGGAAACCGCUUUCAGCAGGGGCGAAGCUUGUGGUGACGGUACCUGCAGAAGAAGCACCGGCUAACUACGUG
rnacentral:rRNA from 1 species